AUGAACGCUGGCGGCGUGCCUAAUACAUGCAAGUCGAGCGAACAGAUAAGGAGCUUGCUCCUUUGACGUUAGCGGCGGACGGGUGAGUAACACGUGGGUAACCUACCUAUAAGACUGGGAUAACUUCGGGAAACCGGAGCUAAUACCGGAUAACAUUUGGAACCGCAUGGUUCUAAAGUGAAAGAUGGUUUUGCUAUCACUUAUAGAUGGACCCGCGCCGUAUUAGCUAGUUGGUAAGGUAACGGCUUACCAAGGCAACGAUACGUAGCCGACCUGAGAGGGUGAUCGGCCACACGGGAAGUGAGACACGGUCCAGACUGCUACGGGAGGCAGCAGUAGGGAAUCUUCCGCAAUGGGCGAAAGCCUGACGGAGCAACGCCGCGUGAGUGAUGAAGGGUUUCGGCUCGUAAAACUCUGUUAUUAGGGAAGAACAAACGUGUAAGUAACUGUGCACGUCUUGACGGUACCUAAUCAGAAAGCCACGGCUAACUACGUG
rnacentral:rRNA from 1 species